rnacentral:rRNA from 1 species
GGGUUGUGAGGUUAAGCGACUAAGCGUACACGGUGGAUGCCCUGGCAGUCAGAGGCGAUGAAGGGCGUGCUAAUCUGCGAUAAGCGCCGGUAAGGUGAUAUGAACCGUUAUAACCGGCGAUACCCGAAUGGGGAAACCCAGUGUGACUCGUCACACUAUCAUUAACUGAAUCCAUAGGUUAAUGAGGCGAACCGGGGGAACUGAAACAUCUAAGUACCCCGAGGAAAAGAAAUCAACCGAGAUUCCCCCAGUAGCGGCGAGCGAACGGGGAGGAGCCCAGAGCCUGAAUCAGCAUGUGUGUUAGUGGAAGCGUCUGGAAAGGCGCGCGAUACAGGGUGACAGCCCCGUACACAAAAGCGCAUGUGCUGUGAGCUCGAUGAGUAGGGCGGGACACGUGAUAUCCUGUCUGAAUAUGGGGGGACCAUCCUCCAAGGCUAAAUACUCCUGACUGACCGAUAGUGAACCAGUACCGUGAGGGAAAGGCGAAAAGAACCCCGGCGAGGGGAGUGAAAAAGAACCUGAAACCGUGUACGUACAAGCAGUGGGAGCACCCUUUUGGGUGUGACUGCGUACCUUUUGUAUAAUGGGUCAGCGACUUAUAUUCUGUAGCAAGGUUAACCGUAUAGGGGAGCCGAAGGGAAACCGAGUCUUAACCGGGCGUUAAGUUGCAGGGUAUAGACCCGAAACCCGGUGAUCUAGCCAUGGGCAGGUUGAAGGUUGGGUAACACUAACUGGAGGACCGAACCGACUAAUGUUGAAAAAUUAGCGGAUGACCUGUGGCUGGGGGUGAAAGGCCAAUCAAACCGGGAGAUAGCUGGUUCUCCCCGAAAGCUAUUUAGGUAGCGCCUCGUGAAUUCAUCUCCGGGGGUAGAGCACUGUUUCGGCUAGGGGGCCAUCCCGGCUUACCAACCCGAUGCAAACUGCGAAUACCGGAGAAUGUUAUCACGGGAGACACACGGCGGGUGCUAACGUCCGUCGUGAAGAGGGAAACAACCCAGACCGCCAGCUAAGGUCCCAAAGUCAUGGUUAAGUGGGAAACGAUGUGGGAAGGCCCAGACAGCCAGGAUGUUGGCUUAGAAGCAGCCAUCAUUUAAAGAAAGCGUAAUAGCUCACUGGUCGAGUCGGCCUGCGCGGAAGAUGUAACGGGGCUAAACCAUGCACCGAAGCUGCGGCAGCGA